rnacentral:tRNA from 1 species
GCCCGCCUAGCUCAAUCGGAUAGAGCGUCAGACUCUUAGAUGCUAGGCUAUUGUGAUCUGAAGGCUGCGAGUUCGACCCUCGCGGUGGGCU